UGGAGCCUUCUUUAUCGAAGGCAUGGGUAUUUGAAAAAGGUUGGGGAGUGGUUCAACAAGCUCCACCUUCAUAUGCAGCGGAUGAUCUGCAAUCUACCUUUCCGACCCGUAGCCAUCGAGGUGCUCAGAAGCUGGAUGUUGAGCUCACCCAGGUGUUGGCUGAGAGGUGGUGGCCAAGCACUCACACCUUCCAUUUACCUAUGGGGAGAUAACACAAACUCCCCUUUACUUCCACAUAUUGACUGGUCUAUGCUUUGGUGAGGAGCAUGCGGUCUUCUCCACCCCCUUUGACCAGUCUAAGAUUUUUUAGCUCACUGGCAUUGAUUCCCCAGAUGCCUUUGUUCAGCUCACUACAGUCCGCAAGGCUUAGGACAACAUCAGUGUCGACAUGUCCUCUAUUGAUCUCCAGAGGAUCCAGAAGUACGACUGGGUGGGGCUACUUAUGCCUACUUUCUCCGAAUGAUGGACCACCUAGCCUGGGAUGACCCUGGUCUGUAUGGAGCCUCCUUCAUCCUUUAGCCCUAGGAACAUGAGCAUCUUAGCUUUCUCUGCCCUCCCCUAGUUAAUGGGGAACAUGACAGUUUUCCCAUUACUAGGAAAUGGAGGAAGGCCGAGAUAGUCCAUGGCCCUCUACACCUUUCUACGACAAGGAGAGACGUGCUAAACUGACUUACUGAUACUAUGGAUUUCCCUGUAGCUGCUAACUGGGAUGAGGCCAGGAGGCUCACUGUCUCUGCAUUCUAUUCGAGGGACCUAGUGGUGCAGCAUGGUCCCUUGGGGAGAUACUAGCGAGGCAAUGGUUUGAUUCUAAUGGCCCUUUGGUUCCUCACUUUCCUCCUUCCAUGCAUAACCCCAGCCUUUUUUCUAGGAGUUUCAAGCAGCCUUGAUCAGGAUGUUGGGGGAUGACUUUAUAAACCCCAUGCUUGAUUACAGAGAGUUUCUCUAGCGGGAGACAGUAAGUGUGCCUCUAACUGCCGAGGGAUGCGAUGUAUGCUUCUUGGACUUUUCUUGCAUUGGUUCUGAUUCUAAUGAUCUUGUAAAUAACAUUGUUGUUUUCUUUUCAGUAUGACAGGCUGGUCUGCUUCCCUAGCUUUCACACUCCUAGAUCUACAAGUGAUUCCAUAGAGGGUCAUCUCAUAUGAGCAUAGGUCUUAUCCAUAACAUGGCUGAGGUGUCCUUAUCUAUUCCAGGCUUCCCCUAGUGGAUGUAUACUGAUGCGAGUGAUCUUUAGUUCAGCGGAUGUUGCCGAGGACGUCGAUGGAUGACAAGUGCAUGGGCCUCCCCAUUCCUUUUGACUAUGUAUGUCAUCUCCCUCUCACUAUUAUACAUUUUGAUCUUUUCAUCUCACUGUUUGUUCAUUACAGGUUUCUCCUUCUAUCUAUGUUGAGUGCCACUGGAUGAUCCAGAGCCUCAGCACAUAUUUAUACCAUCACAUAGAGCGCAUUUGAGAGCAGGAUCAGCACAUCGUGAGUCUUUAGACGAGGUUGAGCUAGGCCGAUCCUAGAUUUGGAGGCGGGGCCUACCCCUGGAUUCAAAGGUAGAGCAUUUGAUCUUGAAUUUGGAGGCGGGAGAUCUGGCCCCUAUAUGGAGGAGUUGACCCCAAAUUUUGAGGCGGAUGGGGAGUCUGAUAUAGGCCCCACCUUUUCUUUGGAUGAUCUUGAUCUCUUUAGUGGUGGUGAUUGGCAAAAUGAACAGUCAUAGAGCCAAAACCAGAAAUUUUUCUCUUUUCUUUCUUUUGAGGACAAAUGAACAGAAAUAGCAGUUUUUCUUUUAUUUUAGAGAUAUGCACAUAACAUUACUCGUUAAGUUUAUUUGGAUUUUGUUCCUUUUUCUUA